rnacentral:rRNA from 1 species
AGAGUUUGAUCCUGGCUCAGGACGAACGCUGGCGGCGUGCUUAACACAUGCAAGUCGAGCGGAAAGGCCCUUCGGGGUACUCGAGCGGCGAACGGGUGAGUAACACGUGAGUAACCUGCCCUUGGCUCUGGGAUAGCUCCGGGAAACCGGAAUUAAUACCGGAUAGGACCACUUGUGACAUCGCGGGUGGUGGAAAGAUU